rnacentral:lncRNA from 1 species
GCUGACACACUCAGAAUUAACAUUUGUCCAUUUGCUUUUCAGAUUUCUUUUCUCUGCAAUCUUAUGGAUUUAUGUGUUCUUGAAAAUUGCUUUACUAUCAUAAUUGAGGUUUCUGAAGACAACAGGAGUAAAUGCUUAUGCUUUCUCCUCUGUCAUGUAGAGAUCCCAAAAUGUUAUCCUUCAUGGUGAAGCAUUCACAAUUUUCUCUCUUGAAGAAGUCUAUUGACUAUAAAUAUCAGAAAAUGAUUAUUUGGAGAGCAUGUAAUCAGCCAACUUGGUGUAAUAGAAGCAGAAAAAAAAAUUAAAACUACACCCAAGAGAAAACAAGAAUCUCAACACAGGGCCGAGG